CUUUGAAGUGUCUCUUUAAAGUGUCUCUGUGUCUUUCAGUCCACUUCCCUUCUCUGUGUCCCAGUGGGAGAGGAUACGUCACCACGGGACCAGGAGCCUUCAGCUACACAGAUGUGGACGAGUGUAAGCGCUUCCAUCCAGAGGUUUGUAAGAACGGCGUGUGUGUCAACAACAUCCCCGGAUACAACUGCUACUGCCCCAGUGGAUACGUGUACAACAACACGCUGCUGGAGUGUGUCGAUCACGAUGAGUGCGAGGAGGAGAGCUGUGUGGGCGGAGCCUGUGUGAACACCGUGGGCUCGUAUUACUGCAGCUGUGCUCCUCCUCUGCAGCUGGACGACACACAGCGACACUGUGUCAACUCCUCCCACCUGCCCGGGGACGAGAACCUGUCUCUCUGCUGGCAGCACGUCACAGCGGACCUGGUGUGUCAGAGUCCUCUCCUGGGGGCUCAGUCAUCUUCACGGACUGCUGCUGUCUGUACGGGG